rnacentral:tRNA from 1 species
UGCCCCGUAGUCUAAGGGUAGGACGCUCGCUUUACAGGCGGAGAGGUCCGGGUCCGAAUCCCGGCGGGGCCGCCA